CCUACGGGGCGCAGCAGUGAGGAAUAUUGGUCAAUGGACGAGAGUCUGAACCAGCCAAGUAGCGUGAAGGAUGACUGCCCUAUGGGUUGUAAACUUCUUUUAUAUGGGAAUAAAAUGUUCCACGUGUGGGAUUUUGUAUGUACCAUAUGAAUAAGGAUCGGCUACCUCCGUGCCAGCAGCCGCGGUAAUACGGAGGAUCCGAGCGUUAUCCGGAUUUAUUGGGUUUAAAGGGAGCGUAGGUGGAUUGUUAAGUCAGUUGUGAAAGUUUGCGGCUCAACCGUAAAAUUGCAGUUGAAACUGGCAGUCUUGAGUACAGUAGAGGUGGGCGGAAUUCGUGGUGUAGCGGUGAAAUGCUUAGAUAUCACGAAGAACUCCGAUUGCGAAGGCAGUUCACUGGACUGCAACUGACACUGAGGCUCGAAAGUGUGGGUAUCAAACAGGAUUAGAUACCCGAGUAGUC
rnacentral:rRNA from 1 species